rnacentral:rRNA from 1 species
AUGUACCCUGUAGCUUGGGCUGUAGUCGAAAAAGAAACAUAUCAGUCCUGGUUCUAGUUUGUUGAGAAGUUAAACAGAGACCUCAAAAUCAGCAAUCAAGGGGAUGGGUGGGUGUUCAUCUCAGAUCAGCAAAAAGGACUAAUAGGGGCUAUAGAGGAUAUUCUUCCAAAAGCAGAACACAAGAUGUGUGCAAGGCACAUUUACUCAAACUGGAAGAAAAAACAUAAUGACAAAGAUUUGCAAAAGAGAUUCUGGAGAUGUGCAAAGGCUCCUAACAGGCUCUGUUCAACUAUAACAGAGCAAGGUUGGCUCAAUUCACGGUUGAAGGAGCAAAGGACAUGA